rnacentral:rRNA from 1 species
UACGUAGGGUGCAAGCGUUGCCCGGAUUUAUUGGGCGUAAAGGGCGCGUAGGCGGCUCUGCACGUUCGUUGUGAAAUCGCCCGGCUCAACUGGGCGGGGUCAGCGGAUACGGCAGAGCUUGAGCAAGCUAGGGGGCAAUGGAAUUCCCGGUGUAGUGGUGGAAUGCGCAGAUAUCAGGAGGAACACCAAUGGCGAAGGCAGCACUCUGGGACGUGACUGACGCUGAGACGCGAAAGCGUGGGGAGCAAACAGG